UACGGGGGGGGCAAGCGUUGUUCGGAAUUACUGGGCGUAAAGGGCUCGUAGGCGGCCAACUAAGUCAGACGUGAAAUCCCUCGGCUUAACCGGGGAACUGCGUCUGAUACUGGAUGGCUAGAGGUUGGGAGAGGGAUGCGGAAUUCCAGGUGUAGCGGUGAAAUGCGCAGAGAUCGGGAGGAACACCCGUAGCGAAGGCGGCACUCUGGGCCGGUACUGACGCUGAGGAGCGAAAGCGUGGGGAGCAAACAGG
rnacentral:rRNA from 1 species